rnacentral:rRNA from 1 species
GACGCUCAUGGACGAAAGCCAGGGGAGCGAAAGGGAUNAGAUACCCCUGUAGUCCUGGCCGUAAACGAUGAACACUAGGUGUCGGGGGAAUCGACCCCCUCGGUGUCGUAGCCAACGCGUUAAGUGUUCCGCCUGGGGAGUACGCACGCAAGUGUGAAACUCAAAGGAAUUGACGGGGGCCCGCACAAGCGGUGGAGUAUGUGGUUUAAUUCGAUGCAACGCGAAGAACCUUACCAGGGUUUGACAUCCUGCGAAUCUCUUGGAAACGAGAGAGUGCCUUCGGGAACGCAGUGACAGGUGGUGCAUGGCUGUCGUCAGCUCGUGUCGUGAGAUGUUGGGUUAAGUCCCGCAACGAGCGCAACCCACGUCUUUAGUUGCCAGCAUUUAGUUGGGCACUCUAGAGAGACCGCCGGUGAUAAACCGGAGGAAGGUGUGGAUGACGUCAAGUCAUCAUGCCCCUUACAUCCUGGGCUACACACGUACUACAAUGCUACGGACAAAGAGCAGCAAGUUCGCGAGGACAAGCAAAUCUCAUAAACCGUGGCUCAGUUCAGAUCGUAGGCUGCAACUCGCCUACGUGAAGGAGGAAUCGCUAGUAAUCGCAGGUCAGCAUACUGCGGUGAAUACGUUCCCGGGCCUUGUACACACCGCCCGUCACACCAUGGAAGUUGGCCACGCCCGAAGCCGUUACUC